GGGGAUUUGGCUCAGUGGUAGAGUGCUUGCCUAGCAAGCACAAGGCCCUGGGUUCGAUCCCCAGCUCCG
rnacentral:tRNA from 1 species